GCAAGUCGAACGCGAAAUUUUUUCUUCGGAAGAAAGAGUAGAGUGGCGCACGGGUGAGUAACGCGUAAGUUAUCUACCCUUCCAUCUGGAAUAACUCACCGAAAGGUGUGCUAAUACCGGAUACGCUGGAAACAGGAAAGGUGGCCUCGUUUAAGCUACCGUGGAGGGAUGAGCUUGCGUACCAUUAGCUAGUUGGUAGGGUAACGGCCUACCAAGGCAACGAUGGUUAGCGGGUCUGAGAGGAUGAUCCGCCACACUGGAACUGGAACACGGACCAGACUCCUACGGGAGGCAGCAGUGAGGAAUAUUGCGCAAUGGGGGAAACCCUGACGCAGCGACGCCGCGUGGAUGAUGAAGGCCCUUGGGUCGUAAAAUCCUGUCAGAUGGAAAGAAAUGCUAUAGUAGUUAAUACCUGCUAUAUUUGGCGGUACCAUCAAAGGAAGCACCGGCUAACUCCGUGCCAGCAGCCGCGGUAAUACGGAGGGUGCAAGCGUUGUUCGGAAUUACUGGGCGUAAAGCGCGCGUAGGUGGCUGUUUAAGUCAGACGUGAAAGUCCACGGCUCAACCGUGGAAGUGCAUUUGAAACUGGAUAGCUUGAGUAUUGGAGGGGGUAGUG
rnacentral:rRNA from 1 species